rnacentral:rRNA from 1 species
UCUUGAGAGCGGCGGACGGGUGAGUAAUGCCUAGGAAUCUGCUUGGUAGUGGGGGAUAACGUUCGGAAACGGACGCUAAUACCGCAUACGUCCUACGGAGAAAAGCAGGGGACCUUCGGGCCUUGCGCUAUCAGAUGAGCCUAGUCGGAUUUAGCUAGUUGGUGAGGUAAUGGCUCACCAAGGCGACGAUCCGUAACUGGUCUGAGAGGAUGAUCAGUCACACUGGAACUGAGACACGGUCCAGACUUCUACGGGAGGCAGCAGUGGGGAAUAUUGGACAAUGGGCGAAAGCCUGAUCCAGCCAUGCCGCGUGUGUGAAGAAGGUCUUCGGAUUGUAAAGCACUUUAAGUUGGGAGGAAGGGUACUUACCUAAUACGUGAGUAUUUUGACGUUACCGACAGAAUAAGCACCGGCUAACUCUGUGCCAGCAGCCGCGGUAAUACAGAGGGUGCAAGCGUUAAUCGGAAUUACUGGGCGUAAAGCGCGCGUAGGUGGUUCGUUAAGUUGGAUGUGAAAUCCCCGGGCUCAACCUGGGAACUGCAUCCAAAACUGGCGAGCUAGAGUAUGGUAGAGGGUGGUGGAAUUUCCUGUGUAGCGGUGAAAUGCGUAGAUAUAGGAAGGAACACCAGUGGCGAAGGCGGCCACCUGGACUGAUACUGACACUGAGGUGCGAAAGCGUGGGGAGCAAACAGGAUGAGAUACCCUGGUAGUACACGCCGUUAACGACGUCAACAAGCCGUUGAGAGCCCUGA